rnacentral:lncRNA from 1 species
AUUUGAAAAGGAAAUCAACCAAGAAAAGAAAUGAGGAAAAAUUGAUAAAGACGAAGUACAAAAUGCCUUGCGAAAGAUAGUAAAGAGAGAAAAAUAUAUUGUAUUGCUCAGAAGUAAUGAAUAGUCGCCUCUCCCCUCAAACACAUGCGUUUGAGGUUGUUUUUAUAGAGAAAACAUGAUCAAUGCGGUCAUUUACUGCUCAUAAUCGCAUUGAUCCGCAUUAAUCAUAUAAGUUACAUUUUGACCGAAACGGCUUGAAUUUGAACUAUCUUGGGCUUCGCG